UACGUAGGGGGCGAGCGUUGUCCGGAUUUAUUGGGCGUAAAGAGCUCGUAGGCGGUUUGUCGCGUCUGCUGUGAAAACCCGAGGCUCAACCUCCAGCCUGCAGUGGGUACGGGCAGACUAGAGUGCGGUAGGGGAGAUUGGAAUUCCUGGUGUAGCGGUGGAAUGCGCAGAUAUCAGGAGGAACACCGAUGGCGAAGGCAGAUCUCUGGGCCGUAACUGACGCUGAGGAGCGAAAGCAUGGGGAGCGAACAGG
rnacentral:rRNA from 1 species